ensembl:lncRNA
GGGUGACUCAGGCUGCCUUCUCAGAUACUGCACCCCCUCCCCAUUACAUGGAAAAGGCUCUCAGAGACCCUUUCUUCUGGAUGCUACACAGCUGAUCCUGUCUAUUCUCUCUCUGGAUAGAGUCCCUCCUGUAGUUCCACUGAUGGGACUCCCCAGAGAGGGAAAUAUCUCGGACACCUCCGGCCCCCAUAGAUUCACUCUGGAACAGCGGAUGGAGCGUCGGUGUAAACUCCUGCUGUGUCCCUUAGGCUUUCCUCUUGCCUGUCCUCUGUGUGGUAAGCGGCAGGAGCCCAGGCUGAAACGCCCUCCAGGGAGCAAACACGGGAUAAUUAUUGAUGGGGCAGCAGUGGACUUCUGACCUCGGCCUGCGAGGGACAGGACCCAGAACGCGGGCCCCAGCCGGGGCAAAGGAAGGUGGGCGGGCCGCAGAGGGGGGCCAAUCAACACGACCACAACAGGGGACAGCCGACCCUACCCAAACAAAGCAGCAUGUGCUCGCGGCCCGCGAACCCGCCCGGGAGUCGAGCUGCAAAGCGGCUCCAGCACCGCGAAGAGGGGCUGCCAGCGGCGCCGGCGCCCCCGCACUCGCCCAGGACACGCGGAGGGGGUUCCGGGUCCCUCCAGGGUGGCCGCGGAGGUGGGGCGAGGGACCACGGGGCUCGCGAGCGCGCGCCGGGCGGAACCAGGAAGCGGCGCGCGCCGGCGCGGGGCGCGCUCGGGGCUGCGGGCGACGCGCGCGGUCGGGCCUCCGCGCGCGACAGGCGCGCGCGCCCCCGUGGGCCCCGGCGAGAGGAGAAUCGUCGGCUGGAGCCGUCACCCCGGGCGGGACCGAGCGCAGGCGAAAACGCGCGGCGGCCCGGCCGAGGGAGGGAGCGAGCGAGCGAGCGAGCGGGCGGGCGAGCCGGAGAGCGGGUAGGAGGCAGCCGCUGGCGCCCGAGGGGCCGAGCGAGGCAGAUUCUUUACCGCUGCAUUCUCAGUCGUGUCCAACUCCUUGCAACCCUAUAGACUAGCCCGCCAGGCUCCUCUGUUCAUAGGAUUCUCCAAGCAAGAAUACUGGAGUGGGUUGCCGUGCCUUCUUCCAGGGGAUCAAACCCACGUUUCUGUAUUGGCAGUAUCUUGUGGAGAUUGAAUCUGCAAAUCGCUGCUGAGAGAUAAAUGAUUUGAUUUGAUUGUGACAAGCAUGCAAAUUAUUCUCUAUAUAAAACUGUGUCUCCUGGGAAAAAGCUGGACUAAUACCAUACUGAAAUGACCUUAACAGUGGAAUCCUUGAUUAGAUCCACGAUGUUAUGUACAUACUACAGCUCCAUAAAGUUGAUCAACUUCCACCAGGGAUGAACAG